rnacentral:rRNA from 1 species
CCUACGGGAGGCUGCAGUAGGGAAUUUUCGGCAAUGGGCGCAAGCCUGAACGAGCAAUGCCGCGUGAGCGAAGAAGGUCUUCGGAUCGUAAAGUUCUGUUGAAGGGGAAGAAGAGCGGAGAGAGGAAAUGCUUUCUGAUUGAUAUUACCCUUCCAGGAAGUCACGGCUAACUACGUGCCAGCAGCCGCGGUAAUACGUAGGUGGCAAGCGUUAUCCGGAAUGAUUGGGCGUAAAGGGUGCGUAGGCGGCCUGCUAAGUCUGGUGGGAAAGGUACCGGCUCAACCGGUACAGGCUCUGGAAACUGGCGGGCUAGAGAGCAGGAGAGGGCGGUAGAACUCCAUGUGUAGCGGUAAAAUGCGUAGAGAUAUGGAAGAAUACCAGUGGCGAAGGCGGCCGCCUGGACUGUGACUGACGCUGAGGUACGAAAGCGUGGGGAGCAAAUAGGAUUAGAUACCCUAGUAGUC